AUUGAACGCUGGCGGCAGGCCUAACACAUGCAAGUCGAGCGGAUGAGGGGAGCUUGCUCCCCGAUUUAGCGGCGGACGGGUGAGUAAUGCGUAGGAAGCUGCCCGAUAGAGGGGGAUACCAGUUGGAAACGACUGUUAAUACCGCAUAAUGUCUACGGACCAAAGUGUGGGACCUUCGGGCCACAUGCUAUCGGAUGCGCCUACGUGGGAUUAGCUAGUUGGUGAGGUAAUGGCUCACCAAGGCGACGAUCUCUAGCUGGUUUGAGAGGAUGAUCAGCCACACUGGAACUGAGACACGGUCCAGACUCCUACGGGAGGCAGCAGUGGGGAAUAUUGGACAAUGGGCGCAAGCCUGAUCCAACCAUGCCGCGUGUGUGAAGAAGGCCUUCGGGUUGUAAAGCACUUUCAGCGAGGAGGAAGGGUGGUGUGUUAAUAGCACAUCAUUUUGACGUUACUCGCAGAAGAAGCACCGGCUAACUCUGUGCCAGCCGCCGCAGUAAUAC
rnacentral:rRNA from 1 species